GUUUUCACAAGCAUUGAGAAACUUCUCAUGACCAACGCUUAUGGAACUUGGGAGGACAGCAAGUGAAAAGGAUUUGUAAUUGUGCAUAUUUUGAAAAGAUGAGAGGAAACGAUUCCUGCAGCUGAACUUAUACCUAUCCAGAGCUGACUGUGGGAGCUGAGACCUAAUAUCCCUACUCUAAGAGUUUGGGCAUGAGCACAUCACAGCAAUCUGGAGCCAAGGUGUGUAGGAUACCUGUGCCAUCAGAAAUGCUGGAGUUGUUCAGAAGAAGAACUUCUGAUCUUCUUCCCCAAAGGUGAGGGUGGUCUUUUAUUCGAUAAUAGCAUUAAGCAUAAGGGACACAAAGUGUGAAUGCCAAGCCCACCAAUAUCACAAUUGAGAUAUUUUUGAUCAGGAUAGAUGAAAA
rnacentral:lncRNA from 1 species